GGCGGAGGAAGGAAAGCAGUCCUGAGACUGGGGCCUUAGCUCUCCAGAGAGGUGGCCGGUGGAAGAAAGGCAUGGAGGACAGUGAGGUUCUAGGUGAGGGCUUGUCCCUCGGAUGCUUAUGCCUCAUUUCGUCUUUGGCACACGAAAGAGGAACAUUUUGUGACUCUGACCCAAGUUUGCUAGAGAUAAAGGGACCAUCUCAUCUCAGUCCCAGAGCUGUAUGCGGGUUUACAGAAGCCAGAGCAAUGGGGUUGACUAUCUCACAGAAGGACGCCAUGUUUUCUCUUCCUAUCUCACAUAGGUAAGGCCUAUAGGACCCUAGGAUCACACAGGCAUGUCUGAACAGAGGUCAGUGGCUAUGAGGGGAUGCUCGAUACCAGGCUAAGUUCCUUAGCCACCACAGGGGAGUCAUGUCUAAAUUGCCACAGAACCUAAAGCAUGCUGGGAAAAUGGAAAGAAGUGUCAUUAAUGACGGGGACAGAGUGGUUUCUUCCUGGGAGAGCAAUAACACAGUGCCAUCAGGUUAGGGCUGGUUGGCACGUUCCCACCAGAGUGCUAACUUUUGAACUGAAAAAAUGACACAUUUACUGGGAGUGAUAGCUGAGCGGUUGUUACAAAUGACCUAACAACUCUCACCAAAAAUAGCAAUUUCAAGAAUUGAAAUAAAAAGCACCAAGUUGGGGCUAAGUAGGUAAGAGGAUGUACUAUACUUCCAGAAAACCCUGGCUCAAUUCCCAGCAUUUGCGUGACAGCUAACAGCUGUUCUUUAGUUCCAGUUUCAGGGGACUUGAUGGCCUCUAGCCUCUGUGGGCACCAGGCACAUACAUGGUACACAAGACAUGCAUAUGGACAAAACACUCAUACGCAUAAAAUAAAAUUCCCCUACACAUUUGUAGCAGAUGGGCAGCUUGGUCUUCAUGUGGGCCCCUAACAAUUGGAUCAAGGGCUGUCUCUGACUCUGCUGCCUAUCAUUGGAUCCCCUUUCCCUGACUGGUGGGGCCUCCCACCAGUGGGAGAGGGACCACUUAGCAUCUGCUGAGACUUGUCCUAAUUCCCCUUCUUCUCAGAGAAGGGGAGAGGAUAAUGGGGCGGGGAGCGGGGUGAGUGAAAACUGGG
rnacentral:lncRNA from 1 species